GCAUAAAACGGUUCAAAGCUAUUUGUUCACAGAUUGCUGAACCUCAUCCCAGACUUGCUUUUGAACAACUGAUUUAUUUGGUCACGUGUUGCAGGCAUGAAGUUCGAAAUGUGAGACUCUUCGG